UAACAAGAAAUUUAGGUUAACACUUUAAACUAAGGGCCUUCAAAGCCCUAAACAGGGAACCCAACUCCCUAAUUUCU
rnacentral:tRNA from 1 species